rnacentral:rRNA from 1 species
ACUCCUACGGGAGGCAGCAGUGGGGAAUAUUGCACAAUGGGCGCAAGCCUGAUGCAGCCAUGCCGCGUGUAUGAAGAAGGCCUUCGGGUUGUAAAGUACUUUCAGCAGUGAGGAAGGUGGGUAUGUUAAUAGCAUAUUCAUUUGACGUUAGCUGCAGAAGAAGCACCGGCUAACUCCGUGCCAGCAGCCGCGGUAAUACGGAGGGUGCGAGCGUUAAUCGGAAUUACUGGGCGUAAAGCGCAUGCAGGUGGUUUGUUAAGUCAGAUGUGAAAGCCCGGGGCUCAACCUCGGAAUUGCAUUUGAAACUGGCAAACUAGAGUACUGUAGAGGGGGUAGAAUUUCAGGUGUAGCGGUGAAAUGCGUAGAGAUCUGAAGGAAUACCGGUGGCGAAGGCGGCCCCCUGGACAGAUACUGACACUCAGAUGCGAAAGCGUGGGAGCAAACAGGAUUAGAU